GGUACAAACUGAACAGGCGAUGAAUUUUCAUAGCGCCGGGCCGAAAGGCAGCAGACAGACUAUCAGCAUCUGCGGGACAGU
rnacentral:ncRNA from 1 species